GCCUGUAACAAACCUAGUACGAGAGGAACCGUUGAUUCACACAAUUGGUCAUCGCGGUUGGUUGAAAAGCCAGUGGCGUGAAGCUACCGUGCGCUGGAUUAUGACUGACCGCCUCUAAGUCCGAAUCCGGGCUAGAAGCGACGCAUGCGCCUGCCGCCCAAUUGCCGACCCUCAGUAGCGGCUUCGGCUCCCAAAGGCACGUGUCGUUGGCUAAGUCCAUUCGGCGGAAGCACCGUUCGGACCGCCUUGAAUUAUAAUUACCACCGAGUGGUGGGUAGAAUCCUUUGCAGACGACUUAAAUACGCGACGGGGUAUUGUAAGUGGCAGAGUGGCCUUGCUGCCACGAUCCACUGAGAUUCAGCCCUUUGUCACUAAGAUUU
rnacentral:rRNA from 1 species